GUCCUCUUUCCUUUUCUCCUUCCAGCUCCAGCUAGGGUUGCCGCCACCACCUCCUUCGGUCCUCCCAUCCCCAUCCUUCGCCGCAACAACGACCGCAGAGGAGCAGAGUGGCCGGCGGCAGAUCGGCGCGUCACGGGAGCGGACACGGCGGCCGUCACGAUGCAAAUCAGAGCGAAGUCGGCGCGGCGGCCGGGCGCGAUCUGGAGAACCAGUGGUGUUCUCUUUCGAAAUCUCCUAGCGCCGGCCCCUCCACUUCUCUCCUCCUCAUCUCCUGGCGUGCAUUCUGCAGUGGGUGCUUUGGGGUUUCUGUGGGGAAAAGGAGAGGAUCUGUGAUGCGUAGAUCGCCGGGUCGCACCACUACGCUCGCGACGGCUUCACGGAGCAGCUGCCGGAGAUUGCCGAGGCCACCAGGGGCAAGGAAACCCUCGUCUUGCAGUGCGCCUUCAGCCAGGAUACAGUUGAUGAUGUAGUUGGAGAUGGAUGGUUCUUACUAAGAUACAUCCGUAUAUGUAUGUGGUUUUGCUUCGGUUGAAGAUAUAUGUGUGCCUUAAAGACAUAUCAGAAGUCAAAUUUCUAGCUUGCAGGCAUUGACUCCGUCGCUGCCUAUUCGGCGGAUUGAGGCACCCAUUCAUCACAUGCGAGCUUUGAGAUUAUUUGGUAAUCAUUGUUCUUCUGUUUCCUAUUCCUUUGGUGUCAUUUCAGAGGUGCACUAGAACAUGCAAGCAUUUCAAAGGAUUAGAAAUGUUUGUCUAGAGUAGAGUGCCCCCUUUUAUCUUGGUAUAUGUACAGUGCUCGAUGCGUUAGUGUGGCCUAAAAUGUUUGAAUCUUCAAAUGUUUUGGAAAAUUAUUUUUAUAUUCAGAUGACUCAAUGCUAAAAUGGUUGACUCGAUGUCUUAGUUGUAGUACUGAUUAGAGUUUA